rnacentral:rRNA from 1 species
AUGAAAGGAUUCCUUGAAAAGUUUAUUCAGUGGACCAAGUCAACUAUUGUUGAUGAUAAAGUGGCUAUUACUUCAAAUGAUAUGUUGGGUAAUUAUUUUACUACUAGAAAGGGUCUUAGGUACGGAGAUCCCUUCCCCCACAGUGUUUAUAUAGUUGUUGAUGUCCUUGUGACCCUAGUUAUAAGGGCUCAGGAGAAAGGACAAGAUGCUUUAUCUUCUAAAAAUAUGUGGAGGAUGAAGCUGCCUCUUAAAGUUGAGGCCUUCUCUUGGUGUCUAGACAUGGUGACUCGUGAUGUCUUCAGAGGUGGGCAUGGUUUUGGCCCCACAUCUAGUGUGGUUGGAUGUUGA